rnacentral:rRNA from 2 species
UGAGGAAUAUUGGUCAAUGGGCGAGAGCCUGAACCAGCCAAGUAGCGUGCAGGAAGACGGCCCUAUGGGUUGUAAACUGCUUUUAUGUGGGGAUAAAGUGCGUGACGUGUCAUGCAUUGCAGGUACCACAUGAAUAAGGACCGGCUAAUUCCGUGCCAGCAGCCGCGGUAAUACGGAAGGUCCGGGCGUUAUCCGGAUUUAUUGGGUUUAAAGGGAGCGUAGGCUGUCUAUUAAGCGUGUUGUGAAAUUUACCGGCUCAACCGGUGGCUUGCAGCGCGAACUGGUCGACUUGAGUAUGCAGGAAGUAGGCGGAAUUCAUGGUGUAGCGGUGAAAUGCUUAGAUAUCAUGACGAACUCCGAUUGCGCAGGCAGCUUACUGUAGCAUAACUGACGCUGAUGCUCGAAAGUGCGGGUAUCAAACAGG